rnacentral:rRNA from 1 species
GACGAACGCUGGCGGCGUGCCUAAUACAUGCAAGUCGAGCGGACUUAAAAAGCUUGCUUUUUAAGUUAGCGGCGGACGGGUGAGUAACACGUGGGCAACCUGCCUGUAAGACUGGGAUAACUUCGGGAAACCGGAGCUAAUACCGGAUAAUCCUUUUCUACUCAUGUAGAAAAGCUGAAAGACGGUUUACGCUGUCACUUACAGAUGGGCCCGCGGCGCAUUAGCUAGUUGGUGAGGUAACGGCUCACCAAGGCGACGAUGCGUAGCCGACCUGAGAGGGUGAUCGGCCACGCUGGGACUGAGACACGGCCCAGACUCCUACGGGAGGCAGCAGUAGGGAAUCUUCCGCAAUGGACGAAAGUCUGACGGAGCAACGCCGCGUGAGUGAUGAAGGUUUUCGGAUCGUAAAACUCUGUUGUUAGGGAAGAACAAGUACGAGAGUAACUGCUCGUACCUUGACGGUACCUAACCAGAAAGCCACGGCUAACUACGUG